AAAAAGAUAAGCUAAGCGUAAGCUAAUGGGCUCAUACCCCAUCCAUGUGAAUUCUUCACUCUUUUUU
rnacentral:tRNA from 1 species